rnacentral:piRNA from 1 species
UGGUAUUCAUGAAAACUACUACGCAAAACC